rnacentral:lncRNA from 1 species
GGAGCCCCGCUGGGUGGGAGGCCCCUGGCGCGUCGGGAUGAAAGGCCUGGCCGGCCGCAGAGGCCGCGAGAGGCCGAGGCCCACUCCGCGGGGCGGGAGGGCUGCCCCGCUCGGGGCGGACCCACACCCGGAGCCGGGACAAAGGAGGGAGCCCGCUGGCUAGAGAGAAACCGAGCUGGGCCUGUGCGGCGGCUGGAGAAGAACCCAGAGACACUGAACGGAAGGGAGCGAGCCAAAGACCUAGAUAGAUCGCAGGGCCAGACGCGGUCCGAAUGAGGCCGGGGCAAGAUCCAGACGGGCUGCCGGGUGAGGCCAAGGGAACACUCAGACCACAAAGAAUCCCAGGAACAAAGGGUUUUCCAGAAACGGAAGAAACUGAACUCGAAAUCAGAGAGCCUACCCAGCACCAUGAAGUAACCAGGCCCAGAACGAGGGGCCAGAGCCUGAGAAAUGACAACUGAGGGAAUGAAAACAGGAUUCUGACUGCACCGUGGGGUGAAUAAGUGGAGAGACAGGAGGACACACAUCUAUGGGGAAAAGAUGCAACAGGAUUAUUAUACUGUGACAGCCUCAGGCACAGAAAGGCUUAGAUCAAAAGGGAGAAAUAUGGGAACCUGAGACUGAAUCAGGACUGCUAUGGAACAAAGAAAAGAAUUCUGGAGUAUAGCUGCUCAGGGAAGAAAAAGGGAAGCCAAUUAUUCUCCGUCAUCAGGGAAAAGGAAAGAAUGAAGAAAGGACGCUGGUAAAUAUGGGUAGGGAUGUGCUGGAGACAAUUUUGAGAAGGGAGUUCCCAGUAUCCUCUGAUCCUGCAUUCAGUUGUGUAUCCUUCAGACCCAAUAUUCACAGACUGCAUUGGGGCCAAGAGCAGUGAACGAGGAACUCAGGUAAAUGCAGGUGAUUUUUUGCCCACAUCUACCCCCAUCCAGCCAUUACCCUCCCCAGCCUCAACAAGCCUGUUGAUUUGGGGGAUGGGGGGAGCAGGUGGAAAAGUGGUUCUGGGUUAAAAGCUAGGCUGGCUGAUCUCAUAGUAACAGCACGCUAGCAAGUAAAAGGAGAAUUCAUGUGACACUGAGCAGACAAAACUGGGACUCAGGCUUCCACUUCAGUUCCCAUUCUGAGAUUUUUAAGAGAAGCUUCUCAUCCCCAGGGCAAGGCCUGCAUCUCAGUACGCUAUGAGUAGUGCCAAGUAUUUGGUCAAUGCUCAGCAAGCACAUUAAUAACAAGAAGAGAUGAUAGGGCUUCCCUGGUGGCGCAGUGGUUAAGAAUCCGCCUGCCAAUGUAAGGGACACGGGUUCGAGCCCUGGUCCGGGAAGAUCGCACAUGCCAUGGAGCAACUAAGCCCGUGCGCCACAACUACUGAGCGUGCGCUCUAGAGCCCGCAAGCCACAACUACUGAGCCCACGUGCCACAACUACUGAGCCCACGUGCCACAACUACUGAGCCCACGUGCCACAACUACUGAGCCCACGUGCCACAACUACUGAGCCCACGUGCCACAACUACUGAGCCCACGUGCCACAACUACUGAAGCCCGCGUACCUAGAGCCCGUGCUCCGCAAGAAGUCACCACAAUGAGAAGCCUGCGCACCACAACAAAGAGUAGUCCCU